GAUGAACGCUAGCGGCAGGCUUAACACAUGCAAGUCGAGGGGCAGCGCGGGAUAGCAAUAUCCUGGCGGCGACCGGCGGAAGGGUGCGUAACGCGUGAGCGACAUGCCCGUUGCCCGGGGACAACCGGUGGAAACGCCGACUAAUCCCCGAUGGGAUAUUGUGCCGCAUGGCACGAUAUUGAAAGUUACGGCGGCGACGGAUUGGCUCGCGUCCGAUUAGCUGGUUGGCGGGGUAACGGCCCACCAAGGCUGCGAUCGGUAGGGGUUCUGAGAGGAAGGCCCCCCACAAUGGGACUGAGACACGGCCCAUACUCCUACGGGAGGCAGCAGUGAGGAAUAGUGGUCAAUGGGCGGAAGCCUGAACCAGCCAUGCCGCGUGCGGGAAGGAGGCCCUAUGGGCUGUGAACCGCUUUUGCCUGGGGGCAAUAACGGCGUCGCGCACGUCCGAUGAGAGUACCAGGCGAAUAAGCAUCGGCUAACUCCGUG
rnacentral:rRNA from 1 species